AACGAACGCUGGCGGCGUGGAUAAGACAUGCAAGUCGAACGCUUAUCCUUGUGUAGCAAUACAUGAGGGUAGGAGUGGCGCAAGGGUGCGUAACACGUGGGUAAUUUGCCGUGAAGUCCGGGAUAACUUGCUGAAAGGCGAGCUAAUACCGGAUGUGGAAAUUGGAAGGCAUCUUUUGAUUUCUGAAGUUGGGGACCGCAAGGCCUGACGCUUUACGAUAAGCCCGCGGCCUAUCAGCUAGUUGGUGAGGUAACGGCUCACCAAGGCUAAGACGGGUAGCUGGUCUGAGAGGACGACCAGCCACACUGGAACUGAGACACGGUCCAGACACCUACGGGUGGCAGCAGUCGAGAAUUUUUCUCAAUGGGCGCAAGCCUGAAGGAGCGACGCCGCGUGGGGGAGUGAAGGG
rnacentral:rRNA from 1 species